rnacentral:rRNA from 1 species
AGCAGUCGCCACGGUAAUACGUAGGGUGCAAGCGUUAAUCGGAAUUACUGGGCGUAAAGCGUGCGCAGGCGGUUAUAUAAGACAGAUGUGAAAUCCCCGGGCUCAACCUGGGAACUGCAUUUGUGACUGUAUAGCUAGAGUACGGCAGAGGGGGAUGGAAUUCCGCGUGUAGCAGUGAAAUGCGUAGAUAUGCGGAGGAACACCGAUGGCGAAGGCAAUCCCCUGGGCCUGUACUGACGCUCAUGCACGAAAGCGUGGGGAGCAAACAGGAUUAGAUACCCCCGUAGUCCCUGUCUCUUAUAC